UGGCCGCGCAAGUCCGUCGGGAAAUCCACCUGCCCAACAGGUGGGCGUCCGGCGGAAACUGUGUGGCUUGGAACCGGAAGGCUCAGAGGGUACGUCCGGGGUAGGAGUGAAAUCCCGUAAUCCCGGACGGACCACCGAUGGCGAAAGCACUCUGAGAAGACGGCUUCGACAGUGAGGGACGAAAGCUAGGGUCUCAAACCGGAUUAGAUACCCGGGUAGUCCUAGCUGUAAACGAUGCUCGUUAGGUGUGGCACCCACUACGAGUGGGUGCUGUGCCGCAGGGAAGCCGCUAAACGAGCCGCCUGGGAA
rnacentral:rRNA from 1 species